UACAGAGGUCCCAAGCGUUGUUCGGAUUCAUUGGGCGUAAAGGGUGCGUAGGCGGCAGGCUAAGUCGGAUGUGAAAUCCCGGGGCUCAACCCUGGAACUGCAUUCGAUACUGGUCUGCUUGAGGACUGGAGAGGAGAUUGGAAUUCAUGGUGUAGCAGUGAAAUGCGUAGAUAUCAUGAGGAAGACCAGUGGCGAAGGCGGAUCUCUGGACAGUUCCUGACGCUGAGGCACGAAGGCCAGGGGAGCAAACGGG
rnacentral:rRNA from 1 species